rnacentral:rRNA from 1 species
UAAUGCCGGAUGCUCCAGUUGAUCGCAUGGUCUUCUGGGAAAGCUUUCGCGGUAUGGGAUGGGGUCGCGUCCUAUCAGCUUGACGGCGGGGUAACGGCCCACCGUGGCUUCGACGGGUAGCCGGCCUGAGAGGGCGACCGGCCACAUUGGGACUGAGAUACGGCCCAGACUCCUACGGGAGGCAGCAGUGGGGAAUAUUGCACAAUGGGCGCAAGCCUGAUGCAGCGACGCCGCGUGAGGGAUGGAGGCCUUCGGGUUGUAAACCUCUUUUAUCGGGGAGCAAGCGAGAGUGAGUUUACCCGUUGAAUAAGCACCGGCUAACUACGUGCCAGCAGCCGCGGUAAUACGUAGGGUGCAAGCGUUAUCCGGAAUUAUUGGGCGUAAAGGGCUCGUAGGCGGUUCGUCGCGUCCGGUGUGAAAGUCCAUCGCUUAACGGUGGAUCCGCGCCGGGUACGGGCGGGCUUGAGUGCGGUAGGGGAGACUGGAAUUCCCGGUGUAACGGUGGAAUGUGUAGAUAUCGAAAAGAGA